AGAGCGACCGGGUCGACCGCGCGGGUCAACACCAGGUAGUCACGCAGCACGAUUGCCUGCCGGUUCUC
rnacentral:sRNA from 1 species